rnacentral:rRNA from 1 species
UACGUAGGGGGCGAGCGUUGUCCGGAUUUAUUGGGCGUAAAGGGCGCGUAGGCGGCUAGAUGUGUCAAAGGUGAAAUCCCUCGGCUCAACUGAGGAACUGCCUUUGAAACUGUCUGGCUUGAGGCCGGGAGAGGGUAGCGGAAUUCCCAGUGUAGCGGUGAAAUGCGUAGAUAUCAGGAGGAACACCUGUGGUGUAGACAGCUUACUGGACCAUAACUGACGCUGAGGCACGAAAGCGUGGGGAGCGAACAGG